GUCUUCGUGGCUCAGUUGGUUAGAGCGUUGGUCUCAUAUUCUAUAUGACCCUAUCAUGAGAUCGGGAUAUCCAAAGGUCGCGAGUUCGAGUCUCGCCGAGGACA